AAGUGUUAACCUUCAGCACUUAUUUAGCUUUUUCUAAGGUUACACAUGAUACUUUUUGGAGGGUGGGCCUAUCUCUUUUAGGAGCCGGCCUCUGGCGGGUCAUAUACUCCUCUAUGAAAGUGUGAAAACUUUCGGAGUGUAUUCUUCCAAACUAAAGGUUGCUAGCACUAUUAGGUUAGUUGGUUAAAAAUAUUUAUUUUAGCAGUACUGUUAAAGCCCCUACUCAGUGAUUAAUAUUAAAUAAAUAUGGACACAUAGUUUUAGUUAUAGAAAUUAAGGAAGGGUAAGAAAGUGCCAGCACCCGCGGUCACACUUUCUUCUUAAGUUAAAUUUUUUGUGGUACAGAAAAAGAGGAUAAUUAUUUAGGGUGAUAUCUCUUUCUACUUCGGUGAAAUGUGUAGGUUUAGGGAGUUUCGCGGCCCCUGACUCUUAAGGCUGAGAAGGCUAGGAAACAGACGGGGAUUAGAUACCCCCUUAUUGAUGCUAUCUUAAAACCGCGAUUAUUAUAAACCAGGAUUGUUUAAAAUUUAAAAAGGUUGGCGGUGCUUUAUACCCAUUGAGGGGAACUUGGCGGUUAAUUCGAUGAUCCCCGAUAACUUUACCUCUUAUUUUCUUUACAUACCGCCGUUGUCAAUAUUCUUUUUAUUAGGGUAGUUGGGUGUGGGGAAUACCGGUUUGGUUCUAUUUGAAUUCAGGUGACGUGUAGGUUAUUAAUAGGGCUUUGCUGAGUUACAAUUUUUAAAAAAUACGGAUGUUUUACUUGAAACAGUAGGCUGAAGGUGUACUUCUUAGUAAUUUUUUAAUUGAGGAAAGAUGAAUUGAGUAUAUAAAGUGCGUACAAAUCGCCCGGUGCCCCUGUAUAUUAAAUCUGGGUAAGCCGUAACACAGUAAUGCUACCUUAAGGUGGUUUUAACUAGGCCUGAGAGGGUUGG
rnacentral:rRNA from 1 species